ACGGGUGAGUAACACGUGAGCAACCUGCCCUGGACUCUGGGAUAAGCGCUGGAAACGGCGUCUAAUACUGGAUAUGAGCUCUCAUCGCAUGGUGGGGGUUGGAAAGAUUUUUCGGUCUGGGAUGGGCUCGCGGCCUAUCAGCUUGUUGGUGAGGUAAUGGCUCACCAAGGCGUCGACGGGUAGCCGGCCUGAGAGGGUGACCGGCCACACUGGGACUGAGACACGGCCCAGACUCCUACGGGAGGCAGCAGUGGGGAAUAUUGCACAAUGGGCGGAAGCCUGAUGCAGCAACGCCGCGUGAGGGAUGACGGCCUUCGGGUUGUAAACCUCUUUUAGCAGGGAAGAAGCGAGAGUGACGGUACCUGCAGAAAAAGCGCCGGCUAACUACGUGCCAGCAGCCGCGGUAAUACGUAGGGCGCAAGCGUUAUCCGGAAUUAUUGGGCGUAAAGAGCUCGUAGGCGGUUUGUCGCGUCUGCUGUGAAAUCCCGAGGCUCAACCUCGGGCCUGCAGUGGGUACGGGCAGACUAGAGUGCGGUAGGGGAGAUUGGAAUUCCUGGUGUAGCGGUGGAAUGCGCAGAUAUCAGGAGGAACACCGAUGGCGAAGGCAGAUCUCUGGGCCGUAACUGACGCUGAGGAGCGAAAGGGUGGGGAGCAAACAGGCUUAGAUACCCUGGUAGU
rnacentral:rRNA from 1 species